rnacentral:tRNA from 1 species
GUGUAUGUAGCUCAGUGGUAGAGCACUUGCCUGGCAUGCAUGAGGCCCUGGGUUCAAUACCCAGCACCACA